rnacentral:pre_miRNA from 1 species
AGUGGGAUUGCUGGGUCAAAUAAUAGUUCCAAUCCAAGUUUUCUGAGGAAUCACCAUACUGCUUUCCAGAGUGUUUUUACCAAUUUGCAUCCCACCAGCAAU